rnacentral:rRNA from 1 species
GACGAACGCUGGCGGCGUGCCUAAUACAUGCAAGUCGAACGCUUCUUUCCUCCCGAGUGCUUGCACUCAAUUGGAAAGAGGAGUGGCGGACGGGUGGGUAACACGUGGGUAACCUACCCAUCAGAGGGGGAUAACACUUGGAAACAGGUGCUAAUACCGCAUAACAGUUUAUGCCGCAUGGCAUAAGAGUGAAAGGCGCUUUCGGGUGUCGCUGAUGGACGGACCCGCGGUGCAUUAGCUAGUUGGUGAGGUAACGGCUCACCAAGGCCACGAUGCAUAGCCGACCUGAGAGGGGGAUCGGCCACACUGGGACUGAGACACGGCCCAGACUCCUACGGGAGGCAGCAGUAGGGAAUCUUCGGCAAUGGACGAAAGUCUGACCGAGCAACGCCGCGUGAGUGAAGAAGGUUUUCGGAUCGUAAAACGCUGUUGUUAGAGAAGAACAAGGACGUUAGUAACUGAACGUCCCCUGACGGGAUCUAACCAGAAAGCCACGGCUAACUACGU